CUGCACUAUAUCUUCGGAAGCAUCCUGAUCCUCCACUUAUAUCUUCGGAAGUAUCCUGAUCUCCAGAAACGUCCUGAUGUAUCCUCAUCUUUGCAGAGAAUAAAACAACGAGAACGACGCGGAAAUAUUUACCAACGAGAGAAGGACGCGCAUUUAAUUUAAAAAAAUGAUUGCUUCAACUAACGAAUGUCUACGCAAAGUAAUGGGAGGAGAAGAGAGAAGCUGGCUCGACACUUUGUGCAUGAAAAGGAGAGGGAGACAUAAAAAAGCAUAAUUGGACGCCGAUGGAAUAACCUUGCAAAAUCAAGUAGACGCAAUGGAAACUUAUUUAAGGACUAUAGACAGGAUGAAGGCCUGAAAAACAGGAAGUCCUUUGGGAAUUUUCUAAAUAUAUAAUAAAAUCAGGUAACUUUUAUGGCGUCUUUAUUGUAUAUCAAUACUGAGGUAUGUAAAAAAAUUUUUUUUUCUUGAUUACUUAUAAUAAUAUAUAACGGCAGCUGUACAAAGGGUAACCUUGAACAGUUACUUUUGCCUCGUUGACAACAAAUCAAGUAUAUGCGCUGUAUGAAACAAAAAAUAAAAAAUUAUAAUAAUAAAAAAUGAAUAUAGCUGU